rnacentral:rRNA from 1 species
AUUGAACGCUGGCGGCAUGCUUUACACAUGCCAGUCGAACGGCAGCGCGGGCUUCGGCCUGGCGGCGAGUGGCGAACGGGUGAGUAAUGCAUCGGAACGUGCCCAGUAGUGGGGGAUAGCCCGGCGAAAGCCGGAUUAAUACCGCAUACGACCUGAGGGUGAAAGCGGGGGACCGAAAGGCCUCGCGCUAUUGGAGCGGCCGAUGUCGGAUUAGCUAGUUGGUGGGGUAAGGCUUACCAAGGCGACGAUCCGUAGCUGGUCUGAGAGGACGACCAGCCACACUGGGACUGAGACACGGCCCAGACUCCUACGGGAGGCAGCAGUGGGGAAUUUUGGACAAUGGGGGCAACCCUGAUCCAGCCAUGCCGCGUGCGGGAAGAAGGCCUUCGGGUUGUAAACCGCUUUUGUUCGGGAAGAAAUCCUCUGGGCUAAUACCCCGGGGGGAUGACGGUACCGGAAGAAUAAGCACCGGCUAACUACGUG